GGGUGGUAAUGCCGGAUGCUCCAGUUGAUCGCAUGGUCUUCUGGGAAAGCUUUCGCGGUAUGGGAUGGGGUCGCGUCCUAUCAGCUUGACGGCGGGGUAACGGCCCACCGUGGCUUCGACGGGUAGCCGGCCUGAGAGGGCGACCGGCCACAUUGGGACUGAGAUACGGCCCAGACUCCUACGGGAGGCAGCAGUGGGGAAUAUUGCACAAUGGGCGCAAGCCUGAUGCAGCGACGCCGCGUGAGGGAUGGAGGCCUUCGGGUUGUAAACCUCUUUUAUCGGGGAGCAAGCGAGAGUGAGUUUACCCGUUGAAUAAGCACCGGCUAACUACGUGCCAGCAGCCGCGGUAAUACGUAGGGUGCAAGCGUUAUCCGGAAUUAUUGGGCGUAAAGGGCUCGUAGGCGGUUCGUCGCGUCCGGUGUGAAAGUCCAUCGCUUAACGGUGGAUCCGCGCCGGGUACGGGCGGGCUUGAGUGCGGUAGGGGAGACUGGAAUUCCCGGUGUAACGGUGGAAUGUGUAGAUAUCGAAAAAAA
rnacentral:rRNA from 1 species